rfam:Pteropus alecto contig35859, whole genome shotgun sequence.
GUCUACAGCCAUGCCACCCUGAACAGGCCCAAUCCCGUCUGAUCUUGGAAGCUAAGCAGGGUCGGGCCUGGUUAGUACUUGGAUGGGAGACCACCUAGGAAGACCGGGUACUGUAGGUG